GAAAAAAAACAAUCUCCAGAAAACAAGAAAUAUAUAUAUAUAUGUGUGUGUAUUCACAGCUUCUGAAAUUAACAGACUGAUAGCAAAGCCAAAAGAAAAAGAAAAUGUAUCCUCAAAGUAACCUUGGAAAUCAAAGCAUCCCGAAAGAGCAGAGGGAUGGGCGAGCGAGCAGGAG
rnacentral:lncRNA from 1 species